rnacentral:lncRNA from 1 species
AUAGAUCUGAGAGAGAGAGAGAGAGAGAGAGAGAGAAAAGGUGUUACCUGAGGCAGGGAGCAGCUGUGCGAGGCGGCGGUGGUAGUGGCGGGAUUCGCCGGAGGGGCGAAAUUCAGAGAGGAAAGAGAGGCUGAAAACCCUAGAAAUUGAGGAUUUUGUUCUUGGGGAAAAAAUAGGGCACAAAAGGGAAGGAGAGGAGGAGGAAGAACAGGGGCCGACCUCUUCGCGCCAGAGGGAGGCUGCGAUUCAGGGCGGCCGCUCACCGGAGUCGACAGAGAAUGGCGAGAGAGAGGGGUACCGUUUCAAACUUUAGAGAAGAAGGAGACUGUGGGUUCGC